rnacentral:rRNA from 1 species
UGAGUAACCUGCCCUUAACUCUGGGAUAAGCCUGGGAAACUGGGUCUAAUACCGGAUAUGACUCCUCAUCGCAUGGUGGGGGGUGGAAAGCUUUUUGUGGUUUUGGAUGGACUCGCGGCCUAUCAGCUUGUUGGUGAGGUAAUGGCUCACCAAGGCGACGACGGGUAGCCGGCAUGAGAGGGUGACCGGCCACACUGGGACUGAGACACGGCCCAGACUCCUACGGGAGCAG